CGAACGGGUGAGUAACGCGUGAGGAACCUGCCUCAAAGAGGGGGACAACAGUUGGAAGCGACUGCUAAUACCGCAUAAGACCACAGCACCGCAUGGUGCAGGGGUAAAAACUCCGGUGGUACAGGAUGGACCCGCGUCUGAUUAGCUGGUUGGUGAGGUAACGGCUCACCAAGGCGACGAUCAGUAGCCGGCUUGAGAGAGUGAACGGCCACAUUGGGACUGAGACACGGCCCAAACUCCUACGGGAGGCAGCAUG
rnacentral:rRNA from 1 species